GAUGAACGCUAGCGGCAGGCUUAAUACAUGCAAGUCGAACGGUAACAGGUCUUCGGACGCUGACGAGUGGCGCACGGGUGAGGAACACGUACACAAUCUACCUUAUACUGGAGAAUAGCCCCGGGAAACUGGGAUUAAUACUCCAUAGUCUUUAAUGAUCACAUGAGAAAUAAAGUAAAGCUUCGGCGGUAUAAGAUGAGUGUGCGUCCCAUUAGAUUGUUGGUGAGGUAACGGCUCACCAAGUCGACGAUGGGUAGCUGGCGUGAGAGCGCGACCAGCCACACUGGCACUGAGACACGGGCCAGACUCCUACGGGAGGCAGCAGUAGGGAAUAUUGGUCAAUGGACGAAAGUCUGAACCAGCCAUGCCGCGUGGAGGAUGACUGCCCUCUGGGUUGUAACUCCUUUUAUAUGGGAAGAAACCUCUGGAUUCACUCCAGAGCUGACGGUACCAUAUGAAUAAGCACCGGCUAACUCCGUGCCA
rnacentral:rRNA from 1 species